AGUGACAUAUUUGAUGCCAUGUUCCCUGUCAUGCACAUUGCGGGAGAGACAGUUAUUCAGCAAGGUGAUGAAGGAGACAACUUCUACGUGAUUGACCAAGGAGAAGUGGAUGUAUAUGUGAACGGAGAGUGGGUGACCAGUAUCGGGGAGGGGGGCAGCUUUGGGGAGCUGGCCCUGAUCUACGGGACCCCGAGCCGCCACCGUCAAGGCCAAGACUGACAUGAAGCUGUGGGGCAUCGACCGGGACAGCUACCGACGCAUCCUCAUGGGUAGCACACUGAGGAAGAGGAAGAUGUACGAAGAGUUCCUGAGCAAGGUCUCCAUCCUCG